rnacentral:lncRNA from 1 species
GAGAGGUAAACCCAAGUCUUCUGGACAACAAGGCUUGCUAUCUCUCUCUCUCUCUCUCUCUCUCUCUCUCUCUCUCUCUCUCUCUCUCUCUCUCUCUCUCUCUCUCUCUCUCUCUCUCUCCAUGAGGUCACACUUCUCAGUGUAUUUCUCAAUUCCACUCAGAGGAUUAUUGAAUUUUUUUCCAUCUAUGGUGCCUGCCCGAGAUAUAUGCACUAAUACAAGAAGAAGGGAUCACAAAAGAACCAUUGUAUAGUUUCAAGAAGCACAAGGUCAAAGAGACCAACCAAUCCUGGUGGGACUGAUGAGAAUCUAUACCAAGACAGAGGAUUUGUUUUGAGUAUGAGGAUGUGACUGUGAAAAUUCCUUCCUAUGAAAGAAGAAUGGCAUACUGCUGUCUUAAAAGCCAGCUGGACAAAGGAUGGAUGCUGGAGGAGUCCACUUUGAGUGCUUACAGAAACAAGUUUGGGCUUUUUAGUCUGCUAACUGCCUCAUUUGGCUCCAGAAAUGGAAACAGUACAGCCCCACUACCACCAGCCAAGACAGUACUCUCUUCAUCUUGA